GGUCGCGAUCAUACCACAUUGGAAACACCGGUUCUCGUUUGAUCACCGAAGUUAAGCAAACUCGGGCCCGGUUAGUACUAACAUGGGCGACCGGUUGGGAAUGCCGGGUGUUGCGGCCA
rnacentral:rRNA from 1 species